ensembl:lncRNA
CAAGUCCCAGAACGGUACACUAUUCCCGGACAGUGAUGGCAGACCAGCAGGUGUACCGCAUGGAUGAAUAAACAGCUCCAGAGAGCGGCAGAGACCAGACCAAGUCCCAGAACGACACACUAUUCCCGGACAGUGAUGGCAGAACAGCAGGUGUACCGCAUGGAUGAAUACACAGUUCCAGAGAGCGGGAGAUCCCGGCCGAUGUCCGAUGACGAAGCACUGUAUGGGACACUUUGAAGGAAGGGUCGGUCUCCUGGAUGAAAAGAACUUUAAUUUUCUGACUUAAAAUACGGAGUUAAAGUUUCCAGUCGGGACGAUAAGGAGGGCAAAAAAACCCGGACUUUUUUGGCUCCGUCAGAAACUAAGUAAAAGUCGGAAUAUGUGAAGGAAAGCUCAGAAAAUGCCUGGAGAAAUUUGAGCGGACCGGAAAAAAAAAGUUCCAGCCGACAUCACUGGGCCACCAGGUCGCAGAUUCCUGAAACCCGGUUUUUAGAAACAUAGGCCUCCAGGAGUGAGGACCGGCGUUUGUGCGGUUCGGAUCCGACUCAGACCUCAGUAUUUUCGGACACCCUCGGACAGUGGCGGGGGUGGAAGAACCGGAGCCUCAUGCAGAACUGGCUGUCGGGGAGCAAGCGGACGCUACCCCGGCAGGAGGCAUCAUUCCGGGCACUGUGGCUGAUCGGUAGCUUUCGUGGAUGGAUGACUGAGCGAACGAACGAGAUGACGGCGGUGCGUCCUGGCUGAUGUCCCAGUACGGGGCACUAUUCUCGGAUGCUGAUGGCAGAACAGCAGGUGCAGUGGACGGAUGAACACACAGUUCCAGACAGCGUGAUAUCCCAGACCAUGUCCCAGAACGGCACACUAUUCUCGGAUGCUGAUGUCAGAACAGCAGGUGUAACGCAUGGAUGAAUACAGAGUUCCAGAGAGCGGCAGAGACCAGACCAUGUCCCUGUACGGGACACUAUUCUAGGAUGCUGAUGUCAGAACAGCAGGUGCAGCGGACGGACUAAUACACAGUUCCAGAGAGCGGUAUUUCACGACAGAUAUCCGAUGAUGAAGCGCCAUUGUCGGACACUGAUGGCAGAACAGCAGGUGCACUGGAUGAAGGAAAUAAACAGAACAUAGUUCCAGAGAGCGUGAUAUCCCAGACCAAGUCCCAGAACGGCGCGCUAUUGUCGGACACUGAUGGCAGAACAGCAGGUGCACUGGAUGAAGGAAAUAAACAGAACAUAGUUCCAGAGAGCGUGAUAUCCCAGACCAAGUCCCAGAACGGCCCACUAUUCCCGGACACUCAUCUACUUAAAAUCUCCCUGAUUACCUGCCAGAACAGAGCAGAUCCAGAGAGCGGUAUUUCACGGCAGCUAUCCGAUGAUGAAGCGCUAUUGUCGGACACUGAUGGCAGAACAGCAGGUGCACUGGAUGAAGGAAAUGAACAGAACAUAGUUCCAGAGAGCGGGAUAUGCGAGACCAUGUCCCAGUACGGGACACUAUUCUCGGAUGCUGAUGUCAGAACAGCAGGUGCAGUGGAUGAAGGAAAUAAACAGAACAUAGUUCCAGAGAGCGGGAUAUCCCAGACCAUGUCCCAGUACGGGACACUAUUCUCGGAUGCUGAUGUCAGAACAGCAGGUGCAGUGGAUGAAGGAAAUAAUCAGAACAUAGUUCCAGAGAGCGGGAUAUCCCAGACCAUGUCCCAGUACGGGACACUAGUCUCGGAUGCUGAUGUCAGAACAGCAGGUGCAGUGGAUGAAGGAAAUAAACAGAACACAGUUCCAUGGAGCGGGAGAUCCCAGACCAUGUCCCAGUACGGGACACUAUUCUCGGAUGCUGAUGUCAGAACAGCAGGUGCAGUGGAUGGAUGAAUUAAACAGUUCCAGAGAGCGUGAGAUCCCGGCUGAUAUCCGAUGAAGAAGCGCUAUUGUCGGACACUGAUGGCAGAGCAGCAGGUGCAGCGGAUGGAUGAAAUAAACAGUUCCAUGGAGCGGUAUUUCCCGACAGAUAUCCGACGACGAAGGACCAUUUGGGACGCUUUGAAGGAAGGGUCGGUCUCCUGGAUGAAAAAGACUUUAAUUUUCUGACUUAAAAAAAAAGUUAAAGUUUCCAGUCGGGACGAUAAGGAGGGCAAAAAAACCCGGACUUUUUUGGCUCCGUCAGAAACUAAGUAAAAGUCGGAAUAUGUGGCGCAAAGCCCUAAAAUCCCCUGGAGAAAUUUGGACGGCCCCGAAAAAAAAAGUUCCAGCUGACAUCACUGGGCCACCAGGUCGCAGAUUUCAGAAACCUGGUUUUCGGAAACACAGGGCUCCAGGGCUGAGACCCGGGCUUCGUGGGGAGCGUUCCCCAGCUGGGCCUAAGCAUCUUCGGACAACUUUGGGCGGAAAAGCGGGUUCGGGAACCGGGAUAUGGGGCGGGUUACGCGGCGUGACCUGCCCGAGUGCAGUGCACUAUUCCCGGACACUCAUCUACUUAAAAUCUCCCUGAUUACCUGCCAGAACAGAGCAGAUCCAGAGAGCGGUAUUUCACGGCAGAUAUCCGAUGAUGAAGCGCUGUUGUCGGACACUGAUGGCAGAACAGCAGGUGCGGUGGAUGAAAUAAACAGUUCCAGAGAGCGUGAGAUCCCGGCUGAUAUCCGAUGAAGAAGCGCUAUUGUCGGACACUGAUGGCAGAACAGCAGGUGCAGUGGAUGGAUGAAUUAAACAGUUCCAGAGAGCGUGAGAUCCCGGCUGAUAUCCGAUGAAGAAGCACUGUUCUCGGACACUGAUGGCAGAACAGCAGGUGCAGUGGAUGGAUGAAGUAAACAGUUCCAUAGAGCAGGAGAUCCCAGACCAUGUCCCAGAACGACACACUAUUCUCGGAUGCUGAUGUCAGAACAGCAGGUGUAACGCAUGGAUGAAUACAGAGUUCCAGAGAGCGGCAGAACCCAGACCAUGUCCCAGUACGGGACACUAUUCUCGGAUGCUGAUGUCAGAACAGCAGGUGCAGUGGAUGGAUGAAAUAAACAGUUCCAUGGAGCGGUAUUUCCCGACAGAUAUCCGACGACGAAGGACCAUUUGGGACGCUUUGCAGGAAGGGUCGGUCUCCUGGAUGAAAAGGACUUUAAUUUUCUGACUUAAAAUCCGGAGUUAAAGUUUCCAGUCGGGACGAUAAGGAGGGCAAAAAAACCCGGACUUUUUUGGCUCCGUCAGAAACUAAGUAAAAGUCGGACUAUGUGAAGGAAAGCUCAGAAAAUGCCUGGAGAAUUUUGAUCGGACCGGAAAAAAAAAGUUGUAGCCGACAUCACUGGGCCACCAGGUCGCAGAUUUCAGAAACCUGGUUUUUAGAAACAUAGGCCUCCAGGAGUGAGGACCGACGUUUGUGCGUUUUGGAUCCGACUCAGACCUCAGUAUUUUCGGACGCCCUCGGACAGUGGCGAGGGUGAACGAACCGGAGCCUCGUUCCGGGCACUGUGGCUGGUCGGUGGGUUUCGCGGCUGGAUCGCUGAGCGAGAGAGAUGGCGGCGGGGCGGCCCGCCUCCGGUGCGCCCUGGCUUCGGCCGGGGCGCGCCGGUGGGUGAAACACUUUGAUCGAACGAGAUUGCUUGAGCGGAGGCGGGGCGGCCCGCCUCCGGUGCGCGCGCCCGCCGGCGGUGCGCCGUCCCCGGGCGCUUUGGCUUCGGCCGGGGCGCGCCGGUGGAGGAAAUGCUUUACGUGAAAAUUCUGACCGAUUUGCAACCGUGACCCGCCACCCGGGGGCCCCCGCCAGAUGGGCGGAGGGUUCCCCGGAACGCGGGUCUGCCUCUAUGCCCGGGUGGGUUGGUGCGCGCGCUGGGUUCGGCCCCCGAUGGCCCUGCGCUUCUCCCCGGGCGCCCGAUUUGUAGCGAGUCCGAGACGGCCCGUCUGCCC